CGUGUAGGCGGCUUGACAAGUCAGAUGUGAAAUCCCUGGGCUUAACCCAGGAAGUGCAUUUGAAACUGUUUGGCUGGAUAAGGGAGAGGAAAGUGGAAUUCCUGGUGUAGAGGUGAAAUUCGUAGAUAUCAGGAGGAACACCGGUGGCGAAGGCGACUUUCUGGCCCUAUACUGACGCUGAGACGCGAAAGCGUGGGUAGCAAACA
rnacentral:rRNA from 1 species